rnacentral:snoRNA from 1 species
AGGCUGUGAUGACUGAUUUCGUUUCUCGAUCCUGAAUAUCUCAUGUUAGCUCUUAUACGGACCCAAGUGAGAGCUAAUUUCUCAUUUGUUGACAGUAUUUGUGCGUGUCUGGGCCUU